AUUGAACGCUGGCGGCAUGCCUUACACAUGCAAGUCGAACGGUAACAGGUCUUCGGAUGCUGACGAGUGGCGAACGGGUGAGUAAUACAUCGGAACGUGCCUAGUAGUGGGGGAUAACUACUCGAAAGAGUGGCUAAUACCGCAUGAGAUCUACGGAUGAAAGCAGGGGAUCGCAAGACCUUGUGCUACAAGAGCGGCCGAUGGCAGAUUAGGUAGUUGGUGGGAUAAAAGCUUACCAAGCCGACGAUCUGUAGCUGGUCUGAGAGGACGAUCAGCCACACUGGGACUGAGACACGGCCCAGACUCCUACGGGAGGCAGCAGUGGGGAAUUUUGGACAAUGGGCGAAAGCCUGAUCCAGCAAUGCCGCGUGCAGGAUGAAGGCCUUCGGGUUGUAAACUGCUUUUGUACGGAACGAAAAGCCCCGGGUUAAUACCCUGGGGUCAUGACGGUACCGUAAGAAUAAGCACCGGCUACUACGUGCCAGCCGCCGCAGUAA
rnacentral:rRNA from 1 species